GGGACCUCAGGUCAGGCGGGGCUACCC
rnacentral:rRNA from 1 species